rnacentral:lncRNA from 1 species
CUUGACUCUGGCGUCACAAACACAGCUUCUUGGAAUCUCAUGCCUGUUACUGGCUGUGUGAUCUGGAGCAACUGGCUUCACCUCUCUGAGCCUUUAUUUCCCACAUCUGCAAAGUGGUGCACAGUAAUACCCACGUUCCUGGCUCUGUGUAAGGAGCCAUGAGAGUGUAUUUAAAGGGCCCAGCACCCAGCUGCUCUCAGUAGAUGCUCAAGAGACAGUAACAACCCUAUCGUUAUAUGAGGUUCAAUGCAACUCAUCUGAUUCCCCUUCCAGUGGCUGGAGAACAUCCCACCUUCUGAGCCUUGGGGAGAAGCAGAGUGUGCCCUUUCCCUGCCCACUGGAGAAGCUGAAACAACAAAAACUCCCUUCCCUGGCCUCCCUGCAGGAGACUCCAGGAAGACUCCUGAAUGCCACACACUCCUAAACCUGAGAGACCUUCAUGCAGAUUGGGGAGCAGCUUUAGGACUGCUGGGUGGAGCCACAAUGAGACAGAUAAGCUCCAGGAAAAUAAGAAGUGCCGAAACAAUGGAGCCACCCAACAAAAAGGGCUGCCACUGCAAGUGGUGAGCUUCCUGUUACUGGAGUAAGUCAAAGAUGGUGUCGAAAAUGGUGAAAUCAAGAACUAGUGCUUAGAAUUAUGGAGAUUUAAAAACAGAAGAGACACCUCCCAGAGUUGCAAGUGGUCGCCUGUCCCAGAGAGCUGGUGAGAUGAGGUGGGGAGGUGGCAGCUGAGUUUUAUGGUGAGAAAGUGGAGUUCGAAGAUGUCAUCAGCCCAGGUCACACAGAUGGUGGAGACCAGUGUGGAGCCCGGGAGUGGGCUGAGCAGAGCAUCUGGACUUUGAGCUUCCAUCAGACCCUGAGAUAGUCACCUGUCCUGGCUGCCUGGUGACCCUGGUGUGCUAACGUGGCACUUAUCUUGCUCUAUGGAGGCCCCUGGGCCCCCUAAACACCAGGCUAGAUCUAGAAAAUGCCACGCAUUUCUGCCUUGCUCUCCUGCGACAUCCACUCUUAGAACCCAGUUGCUGUGCUAAAAAGAACUCACAGACCACGUGGAGUGGAGCAGAUGGGUCAGUGUCCCAGGUGGCAGCCCGUGUCGGCCUCAGACCUGCACGUGAGGAUGCCCACCAGAGGGUUCCUGCCACCACCGUCAAGUCACCCCAGCCUUAAUCUUCCAGCCGGCGCCUCAGGCAUUAUGGGCAGAGGUAAACUGUCUCCAUGAUGCCCUUUCCAAAUUUCUGACCCACAGAAUCCAUGGCUAUAAUAAAAUGGCUGUCUUAUGUGCUCAA